AUGGAGGGGAAGACUCCUAGGAUGCUGUGUCAGAUGUCUUUUGUACCUUUAGUGCAUCUGCAGAGGGAAGAGUGUAAACACUGCUCUGGGGAGCGGAGGAGGCUAUAAGGAAAUGAACAGUAAAGACAGAGAAGCAAGAUGGCAGCGGUGGAAAGGGAGCAGAGACGGCCUUGGUGGUGCAGAGGAGAAUCAGGGAGCCUGCUCUUUGCCUAUGAAGAGUAGAAGACAGUAGUAGCAUCCAGAUGAUUGUGUCCAAACCCAGCAACAACAGACUACACAGCUCCUGACUACUGCCAAAUGCCCACAGGGCCCUCUGUUUGGGUGAGGUGUCCAUACUGAAAACACAUGUGACCAGAUCAAUCAAGAGCAGCAAUGGAAAUACUGCAGUAACGGCGGCCAUGACUGUUCCUUGUUGGGCUCUUCUCAGACUGCUGGUGUGUAUCCGUGAAGUGUUUGCAAGUGGAGUGAGUUGCUGCUGCCUGCUGACCUGUGAACUGAACAGCCGAUUUCCACACUUGAUCUUAGCCUAAAGGUCGAGAAGUGAUGCUGCCGAUUUCCGGACAACACAGAUGGAAGAUGUUCUGGCAAUCUUUCUAAACAGGUCCACUUCCCCUGUAUUCUUUCUUUCCCACUUCCUCUGGUGGGUGGUGGGCUAAAAAGGAGGUUAAAGUGUUUAAAAACCAACAUUAAAAAUAAGGUUUAAAAAAAUCAGAGUUACCCUUGGCUCUAAACACACAGUAUGUGCCCUCUGCCCAGUGUAUACCCUUGUGCUACCCAAUGCCAAUAAAUGCUGCCUGUAGCUCAGACUCGAGACUGUUGUGUGCUAGGCAUGGCAGUGACUGACGGUACAUACAUCAUUUUCUCUUAGAUAAACAUAGUCAUUCAGUUAUGGAAAGCAAAGACCUUUGUGUUUUUUACUGACAUUCCUCAGGGUGUUAAUAUUAAGCUUCGACUUUAGACUACAUUGCUUUAGAAUGUUUAAUCUUAAAAGUUAACUGUUUUAAAAAUUGUUAAAUGAAUAUUGGCUUGACAUUAGUACAGAUUCCCAAUCAGUUCCGAAAUGGUAAGCUUCUGUUGUUUUGCACUCCAUAUUCAUAUGACACGGUAUUUUCAGCACUCAGGACUGUAAAAUCAAAAUAUCAAUUAACUCUGAAAAACAUUGAAACACUGAAGAUUUUCUGCCUCCUGCGGUUUCAAGACUUAAUGCCUUAUGUGGAAAGAAACAAGGAUUUCUACUUUAAGUGGAUCACAUUCGCUUUAGCCUUUAAUGAAUAGUAAGAUUACAUAAAUAUCAAAGAAUUAUUCUAAAAUAGAUUUAUGAGUUAUUGUCCGUCAAUGUUUACUUGGUAUGCCUAUUUUAUAUGCUUGAUAUCAUGAAAGAAUUUUGGGACAAAGGGAGUCACAAGCAGAAAGGCCUUGAUCUAAAGGAACUCUUAGCAUUCCACAGAGAAAGAGACAUUCCAGUCGCCAUGAUGGUUACAGGGAGACUAUCUGAUGAGUCUGACAUUAGCCUUAGUUCCAGGUCAUAAGUAAUAAGACCAUGGACACAAGAUAAAUCCUUUUAAACACCCCAAGUAGGGAUUGCUGCAUAUGAGUUAAAAUUGAAGGCAGGGAAUUUUCUGGAAGUAAAUUCAUUGAAAACAGUUACUGAAAUCAUGAUGAAUGAUCCAGUGUUUGUAAUUGUUAAAAAAUCAAAAUACUGAAAGAGAUUUGGGGUGAACAUAAAACCUCUUUUUAGCUCAUUGUCAAAUAACACCCUAAAUUAUGAUAAUUUUUUCAAAGAUAAUUGAGACAGAGAAAAAGUUUGUAAUUUCUGAAAGCAUCAUCAAUGAAUUGAAAAUGACUUAUGAGUAGUCUGUAUACCCAGUGGAUUUGGGUGGUUGGAGAAGUGGGAAGGAUCAGGGAAGAUUUGGGGAAAGAGAACCUACAGUCAGAAUAUAGUCUAUAAGAAAAAUCUGCUUUCAACUAAAAAAUUAUUUAGUUAAAUAAAAUAACUAUGAUUUGAAACAAAUAAAAAUACUUUAAAAAUCUAUUAUGUACAAGAAAUGUAGUAAAAAUAAUCCAAAGCCAAAUAAAUACCUUAAAGAAAAGAUCAUAAAUUAAUUCUAACACUAAAGCUAUGAAGCAAUGCCCUGAAAUCAUAUAUAUUAAAAGAGGUAAAGUACUGAGAUUUUUGUCUUCAUCAUCUUGAGAUUGUAGCUAAUUUUCUUUAAGUGAUUAACUUGUACUGAGAAGGUUGGGUAAUAAAAUAUGGUGGAUCAGUCAAUUGUUUUCUAUGUUGAUGAUAUAAAAUCAAAUGACCUUCAUGCACAUGAUUUCCAAGAUUACUUAGAAGGGUCUAGAAAUAUAAAAGUGGGAGUUGUUUGAUAGAUGGAUGCUUUUGCCCUCUUAUUUGAGGACAUUGUCUUUAGCUGUCCCUGUGUCUUGGGACAUUCUAAUAUCUGUCUUAGUGGGGAUUUCUAAUGCUGUGAUUAAAUACCAUAACCAAAGCAACUUGAGGAAGAAAAGGUUUAUUUGGCUUAUACUUCUAUAGCACUGUUUAUCAUUGUAGGAAACUAGGACAGGAAUGCAAACAGGGCAGGAACCCUGGAUGCAGGAGCUGAUGCAGAGGCCAUGGAGUGUGCUGCUUACUAGCUCUCUCUCUCUCUCUCUCUCUCUCUCUCUCUCUCUCUCUCUCUCUCUCUCUUUCAGUUGCUCAGCUUGCUUUCUUGUAGACCCAAGGAUCACCAGCCCAGGGAUGGUCCCACUUAUACUAGGCUGUGUCCUUCCCCAAGGAUCACUAAUUAAGAAAAUGCCCUAAGCCAGAUCUUAAGGGGGGAUUUUCUCAACUGAUAUUCCCUCCUUUCCAGUGACACUAGCUUGUGUCAGGUUGACAUACAUUAACCAGGGCAAUACCAACAUGUGAUUGUGAAAAUGUUGAGCAGAGAAGGCAGAGCUGGGCAAAAGUAUGAUGGGAAGAUGAUUGUCAAAGGCAAGGUCUUUAAGAUGGUUCCUGAAGAAAUUCCUAUGAAGCCUGGAUGCACAGCACAGGGGGACAAACACUUGGGUAGUGGAGUCUGUGCUGUAUACUGAAGGAGAGUAGAAAAGUAAGUCACAGUAAUAAAGUCCAGUGAAAAAGUAGUCCACAAUACACUGCAGAUCAGCAUAUGCUAAUUUGGUGUGUGCCAAGUUCUUUCGGUGGAGUUGGAGAUGAAGGGUAUUAACAUUUGCAAAGAGAAAGAGAUUGAGACCUAACAAGCUGAGCCAACAAUAGUAUUCAUUUUUAUACUAUGACAUCAGCUCCUACCUAAAGUAGGAAUGGACACCUGAUCAAAUUCUUUACACAUACUGAGUCAUAAAGAAGUGUGAUUUGUACUGUACGUCUCAGAUUACUAAACUAGAGUUCUUGGGACAGUUGCUCUGGCUGGUUCUUCAAAGAUCAAAGAAUGUCUUUGCAUCCAUCAUUGCUAACUGAAGUGGUGAUUAUUUUUUAUAACUAGAGGUAGCAGACCAAACCACACUUGUUUCCCAAAGGUGACUUUGACAUUUGGAAGUGAAACUCAGCAUUAGAACCCUAUGUGUUUCUGGGGGAAACAAUCUUAUGAGCCAUAACAAUGCAAAGCAAUUUUGUGAAGUCAGUGAAGUUAUUUCUCCAUUGGAUUUUCUUCCUCAACAUAACUAUGAUGUUGGUACAUAGAUGUAGACAUUUUCCUUCCACUAUCUGUUCUUCUCCAUGCUAAAUUAUUAGAAUAUUGAUAUAACCUUUUGAUGAUAAAAGUAUAACAAUCAUAGCUUUUUAUUUAUCAAAAUUUUCUGCUGGUAAUAAUUUAUGAUUGGUGUGCAUAAUCCAAAUACAAAUGAAUAAAGCAUCAUCUCUUUUAUUGAUCCUCUACCUGAGUGGAUAAUAUUGUCAGUUUGUAACAGAAUAUUCCUUACCUUUAUUCAUAUCUGUAAGUGUGAUUACAGUCAUUUGUAAAAUGGCAAAGCAUCCAGGUGAGCACAAAUCUAUAAUCCGAGCAAUGGGGGAAUCUCUAAAAGUUUGAAGCAAGCCUGGUGCCUACAUAGUGAGUUCCAGAACAACCAGGGUUGCAUACAAAGACCCUAUCUCAAAAAAACAAACAAGAAUGAAAGAUC